GAUGAACGCUAGCGAUAGGCUUAACACAUGCAAGUCGAGGGGCAGCAUGGUCUUAGCUUGCUAAGACUGAUGGCGACCGGCGCACGGGUGCGUAACGCGUAUGCAACUUGCCUCACAGAGGGGGAUAACCCGUCGAAAGACGGACUAAUACCGCGUACACUCCAUCUUGGGCAUCCAAGGUAGAGGAAAUGAAAUUCGCUGUGAGAUAGGCAUGCGUCCCAUUAGCUAGUUGGUGAGGUAACGGCUCACCAAGGCGACGAUGGGUAGGGGAACUGAGAGGUUGAACCCCCACACUGGUACUGCGACACGGACCAGACUCCUACGGGAGGCAGCAGUGAGGAAUAUUGGUCAAUGGGCGAGAGCCUGAACCAGCCAAGUCGCGUGAAGGAUGACUGUCUUAUGGAUUGUAAACUUCUUUUAUACGGGAAUAACAAGAGUCACGGGUGACUCCCUGCAUGUACCGUAUGAAUAAGCAUCGGCUAACUCCGUG
rnacentral:rRNA from 1 species